rnacentral:rRNA from 1 species
GAUGAACGCUGGCGGCGUGCCUAACACAUGCAAGUCGAACGAGAACCCAUUCUUCGGAUGGGGGACAGUGGCGAACGGGUGAGUAACACGUUGGUGACCUGCCCCGAAGUGAGGGACAAUCCUGCGAAAGCGGGGCUAAUACCGCAUGUGCUCCAGGGGGUUAGAGGCCCCUGGAGUAAAGCUCCGGCGCUUCGGGAGGGACCUGCGGCCUAUCAGCUAGUUGGUGAGGUAACGGCUCACCAAGGCUAAGACGGGUAGGGGGCGUGAGAGCGUGGCCCCCCACAAUGGAACUGAGACACGGUCCAUACUCCUACGGGAGGCAGCAGUGAGGAAUAUUGCGCAAUGGGGGAAACCCUGACGCAGCAACGCCGCGUGGGUGAUGAAGGCCUUCGGGUCGUAAAACCCUUUUCUGGGGGAAGAGAAAGGACGGUACCUCAGGAAUAAGUCCCGGCUAACUACGUGCCAGCAGCCGCGGUAAAACGUAGGGGGCGAGCGUUAUCCGGAUUUACUGGGCGUAAAGCGCGUGCAGGCGGCUUGGUAGGUUGGACGUGAAAGCUCUUGGCUCAACUGAGAGAGGUCGUUCAAUACCGCCAAGCUUGAGGGCGGAAGAGGGGAGCGGAAUUCCCGGUGUAGUGGUGGAAUGCGUAGAUAUCGGGAGGAACACCCGUGGCGAAAGCGG